GACGAACGCUGGCGGCGUGCUUAACACAUGCAAGUCGAACGAAGAGCGAUGGAAGCUUGCUUCUAUCAAUCUUAGUGGCGAACGGGUGAGUAACGCGUAAUCAACCUGCCCUUCAGAGGGGGACAACAGUUGGAAACGACUGCUAAUACCGCAUACGAUCUAAUCUCGGCAUCGAGGAUAGAUGAAAGGUGGCCUCUACAUGUAAGCUAUCACUGAAGGAGGGGAUUGCGUCUGAUUAGCUAGUUGGAGGGGUAACGGCCCACCAAGGCGAUGAUCAGUAGGCGGUCUGAGAGGAUGGACGGCCACAUUGGGACUGAGACACGGCCCAGACUCCUACGGGAGGCAGCAGUGGGGAAUCUUCCGCAAUGGACGAAAGUCUGACGGAGCAACGCCGCGUGAGUGAUGACGGCCUUCGGGUUGUAAAGCUCUGUUAAUCGGGACGAAAGGCCUUCUUGCGAAUAGUGAGAAGGAUUGACGGUACCGGAAGAGAAAGCAACGGCUAACUACGUG
rnacentral:rRNA from 1 species